CACCAGGCCUCCACGCAGGUCUGACACACAGAACGGACAACAGACUAAAAUAAAGCCAUUUUCUGCGUAGCACUGCAGUAUUACCAACAGCAGAGAUUGUCAACAUUUUCUGGCCUGUGAACUAAAACUGGCAAGAUGUCAUCUUGUGUGUGUGUGUGUGUGUACCUGACAGCAGGGUUUCACCAGGGUAGAGUUCAUCUCGCAGACAAACGCCAUUUCUGAUGGAGAACUCCUGGAGGCUCCUCUUCACCUGAGGGAUCUGAGCUGUGGCCAGCAGCCAGCGGGGAGACUCGGGAAACACUGACGCACAGCUGAGGAAAACAACUCUUUUUAUCAUAUUUUAGAGAGUUACGAGGGUGAAAAGAUAUACACACGGUCCACCUACACACUGCAAAAAUAUUGCCACCUGACUCACCACCAAUAGGACAGCAGCAGGAGCAGAGGCAAAGUGGCCACAGCCUG